rnacentral:sRNA from 1 species
CAGCGCUUAUUGCGCGGCGAAAAAACCUUACACACAGUGUUUUUUGUUAUUACAAGAACUUUUGCUUUGGUCUGGACUAGAAAUAGUUUGGGCCAGAGGUUUACUGAACUAAACUUCAAUAUUUAUAUUGAAUUGUUAUUUAUUUAAUUGUCAAUUUGUUGAUUAAAUUCAAAAAAUCUUCAAAACUUUCAACAACGGAUCUCUUGGUUCUCGCAUCGAUGAAGAACGCAGCGAAAUGCGAUAAGUAAUAUGAAUUGCAGAUUUUCGUGAAUCAUCGAAUCUUUGAACGCACAUUGCGCCCUCUGGUAUUCCAGAGGGCAUGCCUGUUUGAGCGUCAUUUCUCUCUCAAACCUUCGGGUUUGGUAUUGAGUGAUACUCUUAGUCGAACUAGGCGUUUGCUUGAAAUGUAUUGGCAUGAGUGGUACUGGAUAGUGCUAUAUGACUUUCAAUGUAUUAGGUUUAUCCAACUCGUUGAAUAGUUUAAUGGUAUAUUUCUCGGUAUUCUAGGCUCGGCCUUACAAUAUAACAAACAAGUUUGACCUCAAAUCAGGUAGGAUUACCCGCUGAACUUAAGCAUAUCAAUAAGCGGAGGAAAAGAAACCAACAGGGAUUGCCUUAGUAACGGCGAGUGAAGCGGCAAAAGCUCAAAUUUGAAAUCUGGCACCUUCGGUGUCCGAGUUGUAAUUUGAAGAAGGUAACUUUGGAGUUGGCUCUUGUCUAUGUUCCUUGGAACAGGACGUCACAGAGGGUGAGAAUCCCGUGCGAUGAGAUGCCCAAUUCUAUGUAAAGUGCUUUCGAAGAGUCGAGUUGUUUGGGAAUGCAGCUCUAAGUGGGUGGUAAAUUCCAUCUAAAGCUAAAUAUUGGCGAGAGACCGAUAGCGAACAAGUACAGUGAUGGAAAGAUGAAAAGAACUUUGAAAAGAGAGUGAAAAAGUACGUGAAAUUGUUGAAAGGGAAGGGCUUGAGAUCAGACUUGGUAUUUUGCGAUCCUUUCCUUCUUGGUUGGGUUCCUCGCAGCUUACUGGGCCAGCAUCGGUUUGGAUGGUAGGAUAAUGACUAAGGAAUGUGGCUCUACUUCGGUGGAGUGUUAUAGCCUUGGUUGAUACUGCCUGUCUAGACCGAGGACUGCGUCUUUGA